CCUACGGGGGGCAGCAGUGGGGGAUAUUGCACAAUGGGGGAAACCCUGAUGCAGCGACGCCGCGUGGGCGAAGAAGUAUUUAGGUAUGGAAAGCCCUAUCAGCAGGGAAGAAGAAAUGACGGUACCUGAGUAAGAAGCACCGGCUAAAUACGUGCCAGCAGCCGCGGGAAUACGUAUGGUGCAAGCGUUAUCCGGAUUUACUGGGUGUAAAGGGAGCGCAGGCGGCACGGCAAGCCUGAUGUGAAAGCCCGCGGCCCAACCGCGGGACUGCAUUGGGAACUACCGGGCUGGAGUGCCGGUGAGGUAGGCGGAAUGCCUAGUGUAGCGGUGAAAUGCGUAGAUAUUAGGAGGAACACCAGUGGCGAAGGCAGCCUACUGGACGGUGACUGACGCUGAGGCUCGAAAGCGUGGGGAGCAAACAGGAUUAGAUACCCCUGUAGUC
rnacentral:rRNA from 1 species